GUCAAGUCAUCAUGGCCUUUAUGGCCAGGGCCACACACGUGCUACAAUGGCCGGUACAGAGGGCAGCCAACCCGCGAGGGGGAGCUAAUCCCACAAAGCCGGUCGUAGUCCGGAUCGGAGUCUGCAACUCGACUCCGUGAAGUCGGAAUCGCUAGUAAUCGCGAAUCAGCAUUGUCGCGGUGAAUACGUUCCCGGGUCUU
rnacentral:rRNA from 1 species